rnacentral:rRNA from 1 species
AGAGUUUGAUCAUGGCUCAGAUUGAACGCUGGCGGCAGGCCUAACACAUGCAAGUCGAACGGUAACAGGAAGAAGCUUGCUUCUUUGCUGACGAGUGGCGGACGGGUGAGUAAUGUCUGGGAAACUGCCUGAUGGAGGGGGAUAACUACUGGAAACGGUAGCUAAUACCGCAUAACGUCGCAAGACCAAAGAGGGGGACCUUCGGGCCUCUUGCCAUCGGAUGUGCCCAGAUGGGAUUAGCUAGUAGGUGGGGUAACGGCUCACCUAGGCGACGAUCCCUAGCUGGUCUGAGAGGAUGACCAGCCACACUGGAACUGAGACACGGUCCAGACUCCUACGGGAGGCAGCAGUGGGGAAUAUUGCACAAUGGGCGCAAGCCUGAUGCAGCCAUGCCGCGUGUAUGAAGAAGGCCUUCGGGUUGUAAAGUACUUUCAGCGGGGAGGAAGGGAGUAAAGUUAAUACCUUUGCUCAUUGACGUUACCCGCAGAAGAAGCACCGGCUAACUCCGUGCCAGCAGCCGCGGUAAUACGGAGGGUGCAAGCGUUAAUCGGAAUUACUGGGCGUAAAGCGCACGCAGGCGGUUUGUUAAGUCAGAUGUGAAAUCCCCGGGCUCAACCUGGGAACUGCAUCUGAUACUGGCAAGCUUGAGUCUCGUAGAGGGGGGUAGAAUUCCAGGUGUAGCGGUGAAAUGCGUAGAGAUCUGGAGGAAUACCGGUGGCGAAGGCGGCCCCCUGGACGAAGACUGACGCUCAGGUGCGAAAGCGUGGGGAGCAAACAGGAUUAGAUACUCUGGUAGUCCACGCCGUAAACGAUGUCGACUUGGAGGUUGUGCCCUUGAGGCGUGGCUUCCGGAGCUAACGCGUUAAGUCGACCGCCUGGGGAGUACGGCCGCAAGGUUAAAACUCAAAUGAAUUGACGGGGGCCCGCACAAGCGGUGGAGCAUGUGGUUUAAUUCGAUGCAACGCGAAGAACCUUACCUGGUCUUGACAUCCACGGAAGUUUUCAGAGAUGAGAAUGUGCCUUCGGGAACCGUGAGACAGGUGCUGCAUGGCUGUCGUCAGCUCGUGUUGUGAAAUGUUGGGUUAAGUCCCGCAACGAGCGCAACCCUUAUCCUUUGUUGCCAGCGGUCCGGCCGGGAACUCAAAGGAGACUGCCAGUGAUAAACUGGAGGAAGGUGGGGAUGACGUCAAGUCAUCAUGGCCCUUACGACCAGGGCUACACACGUGCUACAAUGGCGCAUACAAAGAGAAGCGACCUCGCGAGAGCAAGCGGACCUCAUAAAGUGCGUCGUAGUCCGGAUUGGAGUCUGCAACUCGACUCCAUGAAGUCGGAAUCGCUAGUAAUCGUGGAUCAGAAUGCCACGGUGAAUACGUUCCCGGGCCUUGUACACACCGCCCGUCACACCAUGGGAGUGGGUUGCAAAAGAAGUAGGUAGCUUAACCUUCGGGAGGGCGCUUACCACUUUGUGAUUCAUGACUGGGGUGAAGUCGUAACAAGGUAACCGUAGGGGAACCUGCGGUUG